rnacentral:rRNA from 1 species
GAUGAACGCUAGCGGCAGGCUUAAUACAUGCAAGUCGAGGGGCAGCACGGUUAGCAAUAACUGGUGGCGACUGGCGCACGGGUGCGUAACACGUAUACAAUCUACCUUAAACAGGGGAUAGCCUUUCGAAAGAGAGAUUAAUACCCCGUAAUAAAUUGAACGGCAUCGUUUGAUUUUGAAAGCUCCGGCGGUUUGAGAUGAGUAUGCGUCUGAUUAGCUAGUUGGUGAGGUAACGGCUCACCAAGGCGACGAUCAGUAGGGGAUCUGAGAGGACUAACCCCCCACACUGGUACUGAGACACGGACCAGACUCCUACGGGAGGCAGCAGUAAGGAAUAUUGGUCAAUGGAGGCAACUCUGAACCAGCCAUGCCGCGUGCAGGAUGACGGCCCCUAUGGGUUGUAAACUGCUUUUGAUAGGGAACAAAUGCCACUUGCGAGUGGAGCUGAGUGUACCUAUAGAAUAAGCACCGGCUAACUCCGUGCCAGCAGCCGCGGU